rnacentral:rRNA from 2 species
GAGUAACACGUGGGCAAUCUGCCCUGCACUCUGGGACAAGCCCUGGAAACGGGGUCUAAUACCGGAUACUGACCCGCUUGGGCAUCCAAGCGGUUCGAAAGCUCCGGCGGUGCAGGAUGAGCCCGCGGCCUAUCAGCUUGUUGGUGAGGUAAUGGCUCACCAAGGCGACGACGGGUAGCCGGCCUGAGAGGGCGACCGGCCACACUGGGACUGAGACACGGCCCAGACUCCUACGGGAGGCAGCAGUGGGGAAUAUUGCACAAUGGGCGAAAGCCUGAUGCAGCGACGCCGCGUGAGGGAUGACGGCCUUCGGGUUGUAAACCUCUUUCAGCAGGGAAGAAGCGAAAGUGACGGUACCUGCAGAAGAAGCGCCGGCUAACUACGUGCCAGCAGCCGCGGUAAUACGUAGGGCGCGAGCGUUGUCCGGAAUUAUUGGGCGUAAAGAGCUCGUAGGCGGCUUGUCACGUCGGUUGUGAAAGCCCGGGGCUUAACCCCGGGUCUGCAGUCGAUACGGGCAGGCUAGAGUUCGGUAGGGGAGAUCGGAAUUCCUGGUGUAGCGGUGAAAUGCGCAGAUAUCAGGAGGAACACCGGUGGCGAAGGCGGAUCUCUGGGCCGAUACUGACGCUGAGGAGCGAAAGCGUGGGGAGCGAACAGGAUUAGAUACCCUGGUAGUCCACGCCGUAAACGGGUGGGCACUA